GGGGGUGUACCGGUUUCGACGGGUAUAAUCUAGGAUAUUAACUGCAGGUAAGGCUUUCUGUCCUUUGAACAGAUACAUUUUAUAACUGCCAAAAAAGAAGAUGACUUCGUUGUUGACUUCCCCGGAAGCAACAAAAAGCAGUUUGCUUUAGCAGCGUAAGCUCGCUUUAGCCGGAAACAGAUUGGUGCCGCUCUGAACGAAUCUGAUUUUCCGUUGCCAACCGGAGCUUGCUGUGUGUGCAUUUUUGCGGCAUGCACGGGACUUUUGCAAAAUACGGAGCCGACGCUUUCGGUGUUGCUACCGGUUCCCGACAACUACCUCGCACCGAUAAACCUGUAGACGUUUCUGUUCAGUAUGCUCGGACGGGAGUUCGAUUCUCCCCAUCUCCA
rnacentral:tmRNA from 1 species